rnacentral:antisense_RNA from 1 species
GGGCAUCACGGACCUACCGACAUGUGAUGUCACCCCCGGUGGCCCAGCUAUAAAAUUCCUCUCUUUGUACUCUUUCUCUUCAUUUCUCAGACCAGCCAACACUUAGGGAAAACAGAAAGAACCUACAUUGAAAUAUUGGGGGCGACAGACCAUGGGAAUGCAAAUAUCUCUUCAACAUCCUGAUUUCAAUUAUUUUGAAGAAACCCUGGCAGCCUCAGCAUCACCUCAUCAGCAGGUUUGCAACUUGCAACCACUUCCCAGCACUUGGCAAAAGGCGGCAAGAAAGCCGCCUUGUUCUCAUGUGGUGUCUUUACUAAGUAACUGUGGAAGGACCAGAGCAUUUUCUACCUUCCAAGGCAGACACCCUGGCACCUGAGACUGAUGAUCUUGUGUAAAACAAUCAGGGUACUGGAUAAAUACAGCUCUGUUGCCUCUGGUAUCCCAGUGGCUUUAGUGUAUGGUAGAGCCAAGGUAAUAAUAGUUUUCUGUGGUAUGUGUGACAUCUUCCUCAUCCACAGUAAGCCAAGAUUUUUUUUAGAGUCAGUGUCAACUAGAAUCUUGCAGCAUCAUAACCUUUAAAUACAUUACAACAGUUAGACCCCAAGAGGUUGGUUCUUGACUUCAAGUAGUCUUUCCUGCUUGCUUUACAGAUUUAAAAUAAUUCAACUUCCUGGAAAAGAACUCUAAAAAUAAGCCACUAGAAUUAUCAAGACAAUGUAAAAGAUCAUCAUCAUUAC